UACGAAGGGGGCUAGCGUUGCUCGGAAUGACUGGGCGUAAAGGGCGCGUAGGCGGAUGGCACAGUCAGAUGUGAAAUUCCCGGGCUUAACCUGGGGGCUGCAUUUGAUACGUGUUGUCUAGAGUGAGGAAGAGGGUUGUGGAAUUCCCAGUGUAGAGGUGAAAUUCGUAGAUAUUAGCUAGAACACCAGUGGCGAAGGCGGCCAACUGGUCCGAUACUGACGCUGAGGUGCGAAAGCGUGGGGAGCAAACAGG
rnacentral:rRNA from 1 species